rnacentral:lncRNA from 1 species
AUUUUACUGUAAAAUAGAUGGAUAGAAGUACUAUUUUUUAACAGAUUGAUAUUCUGGCAAAAAUUUAGAUAAGCAUGAAUUUGUUUCUAUUUUAGAGAUAAAAAGAAAUUAAAUAAAUUUUGAAUUAAAAUAUAGAUUCACAGUAGAUAUCUUUCGGUUGGCAAAAAUUUGGAUGAGUAUAUUUUUUUCUAUUUUAGAGAUAGAGAGAACUUAAAAGUUUGUUUUAUUACUUUAUUUAUUUUACGUAAGUAAAGAGGAAUCAAAUUUUUUUUUCCGCCAAAAAAGGGGUCUGUCGACAGACUGAAAUUUAAAAUACGUGCUUAUAUAUAUAUAUAUAGAGAGAGAGAGAGAUAGAGAGAGAGAGAGAGAGAGUCCGACUACUAUACUAUCUAUAGUACGGGAGCUCCCGUACUAUAGUGUCGUUUUUGAUCUUCGGGCGUUCAAAUCAACGAUCCACACCGUUAAAACUGAUCUAGGAUAUUUAAAGUUUUUAGAAAUAAAUUUUUAUAUUUUUUCGACGUAGUUUACUUUAUGAUCAAAACAUUUCAAAAUUGUCAAUUUUCAAUGGCUAUUAUGACGAGUUGGGACUUUUAACGGUGUAGAAGAAUCUAAAUUUCUUCAAAUUUUGAUAGAAAAUACUUUAAACUAUAUAGAUUAAGGUUAACAUUCUUGAUCUUGAAUUUAAAAGUCCUAUGCUCAAAUUUUAAAGAGUAUUCAAU